GGAGUCGUGUCCGAGCGGUUUAAGGUGCAAUCUUGGAAAGGUUGUGUGGGAGCAAUUCCACCGUGAGUUCGAAUCUCACCGACUCCG
rnacentral:tRNA from 1 species